AAUGUAUCGGAACGUGCCCAGUUGUGGGGGAUAACUGCUCUAAAGAGCAGCUAAUACCGCAUACGACCUGAGGGUGAAAGCGGGGGAUCGCAAGACCUCGCGCAAUUGGAGCGGCCGAUAUCAGAUUAGGUAGUUGGUGGGGUAAAGGCCCACCAAGCCAACGAUCUGUAGCUGGUCUGAGAGGACGACCAGCCACACUGGGACUGAGACACGGCCCAGACUCCUACGGGAGGCAGCAGUGGGGAAUUUUGGACAAUGGACGCAAGUCUGAUCCAGCCAUGCCGCGUGCGGGAAGAAGGCCUUCGGGUUGUAAACCGCUUUUGUCAGGGAAGAAAAGGGCGACUCUAAUACAGUUGCCUCAUGACGGUACCUGAAGAAUAAGCACCGGCUAACUACGUGCCAGCAGCCGCGGUAAUACGUAGGGUGCAAGCGUUAAUCGGAAUUACUGGGCGUAAAGCGUGCGCAGGCGGUUAUGCAAGACAGGUGUGAAAUCCCCGGGCCCAACCUGGGAACUGCAUUUGUGACUGCAUGGCUAGAGUACGGUAGAGGGGGAUGGAAUUCCGCGUGUAGCAGUGAAAUGCGUAGAUAUGCGGAGG
rnacentral:rRNA from 1 species